AGCGACCGACCCUACGUGGGGGGAAGGUAGCCGGCCCAACGGCCGGGUAAUACCGCAUACGCUCUGGCAGUUGCCUGGGUGCCAGAGGACAGCUGCGGGGGCAACCCCGUGGCGCCAGAGGACGGGCUCGCGGCCUAUCAGCUAGUUGGUGUGGGUAACGGCCCACCAAGGCGACGACGGGUAGCUGGUCUGAGAGGAUGGCCAGCCACAUUGGGACUGAGAAACGGCCCAG
rnacentral:rRNA from 1 species